rnacentral:rRNA from 1 species
AUGGCAGCUGCUCGUCCGGCGCCGUUCCUCGACCACAAUGCUGCUCAGCAGCUGGAGCGGCGGCUCCACUUCCACGCCGCCGUAUACGUGCUGCUCGGCGCCUCCUAUCUCCUCCGCGCCGCCGUCCCUCGCCUGGCCGACAGCCACCUCGCCGCUGGCAUGGCGCUCUGGGCGGCCGCCCUGGCGCUCGCGCUGCUGUCCUUCCACCUCCGCCGGUUCCCGAUGGCGGCCAUGGCUGCCGCGCGCAUUGCGCAGGUCGCGCUCAGGGCCUUCUUCUGA